rnacentral:lncRNA from 13 species
AUGCUUUAUUUGAUUCUCUUUGUUGGAACGUUCGUCCUGUCCUCGGGGCAAUUCACGAACCUGACCACGUUUGCACAUGCAAUGGUGAAUUUAUCCAGCUACGAAAAUCUGGAUAGCGAUGCAAUCGUUUCAAACAUUGAGGAGUUCUUGAAGCAAAUAAGCAAUAAUGCCCUUGGACCUCUGAAGAUAACAGUGAACCGUUUCACAAAAUGUAGCGGCGCCCAGUGUGGAGACCAGCAACCCUCUACUACCCCUCAACCCACC